AACAUUUAGUUUGGUCAAAUGUUUUUGUAUUUUAAAGUAUGCAGCGCUCUUUAAGUAGAUAAAUACUUCUCACUGCUGGUUAAGACUUAGAACAAUUAGUCCACUACAGUUCUUUAUAGUAACAGAGAAUUAAAAAUUAUUUGCAAUCUUGUCCAGUGUACUUUUAGACUAAACUGGAACUUCUUAUAUUUUAUUUUCCAGACAAUGAUUUAAAUCACCUGUUCACAAGAAGUAUUAAUGGAACUCCCAUGGGAUUUCUGAUGUUUUGCUGUUCUUCCUGUUAGAAGGACUGUUAUCACCUCGUCUUGAAAGCAGUAACAAAAGCAUGUUCAAACUGCAGGGUUUAAACUCAAUCACUUCCAGGCCUUCUGCAGCUGAACAAAAUUAGUAUUUAUGAGUUGAUGGUUUGAGUUUCUUAUACAUUCAGAAGAACAAAGGUGUCUAAGAAUGAUACUGUCACAGAGGCUUUUCCCUCUGGGGAAAAAAAAUGGGUGUGUGUGGCAGGGGUGAGGGAGAGGCAGCUGGAUAAAAAGAUCAGAAGUAAAGGCUUGUUUCAGCUUAUCAGGGCAGGACACCUCUUUGUGUCCAAGUCAGAUAUGUCUUCCUUACUUGUGAAAGAACCUGGAAAUGAAGUGUUAUUAUGUGCAUUAACAGUUAAAAACACUUAAGUAGAGCUUAUUAUCUCAUGAAGCUUUUUUUGAAGCUCCUGUUCUGCAUGCUAGGUAAAUAAUUUGAGGCAUACCAUCAGGGCACCGUCUGGCAGCAUCAACUUGUCCUUUGAGACCAGUUCGAAUGCUCAGUGUACCUACAGUUCUGGACUGCACAGUUAAAAUCUGUGUGGCAUGUGUACAUUUUGAAUGCUGAAGUAGAAGCUGUGAAACUUUUAUAGUAACUUAUUACUUAACUGGUGAUCUAAACCAGUUGUUGGAUUUGGAUCGUGUAAGGAUCUCUGCCUUUAACAGGGGGAAGUCAUGUUAGUAAUAAACGUAAAAGUGUUCUGAGUCCUGUACUGAGUGAGUAGAAUGUAAAAUGUUCAAGCUAGAGGACAGACCUUUAAAUUAGACACUUCUUAGAUUGCAAAGUAAUUAAUAAUAUAGUACAAAUUAGUACCAAGUAAUUUGUCCCAGUAUGAUAAGUAUACUAAGUCUGCUUUGGGAAUUGUGAAGCUGUCCUGUGGCAAGAACCAUGUGGUGUGAACUUUGGAAUAGGGUAGAAUUGCUGUUUAGUAUAAGCAAGCUUCUUGCAACUAUGUUGCCUGAGCAGAGUCUUUUAGACCUUUGUUCCUUAUUUGCAGGUGAUAGCAAUCCUUGAGUCUUUCAUUAUUACAAAAGAAGUGUAACUUAUAUAUGUUAAUUUCCAUACACAGUUGAGAAGUGUUACCUCUGAGUAUGCUUUGUGCAUCUCUUGGCCUCUUUUUGACUUGGAGUUAAGAAUGGCAGAAUUUUUCACUGGCUUAAAAAAAACAUUGCACAAAGUUGAGAAAGUAAAAUUUAUCUGUUAAAUACAGGUAUACUAUUACUAGGUCAAGUAUUGAGCAAAAAAAAGCUAGAGACAGUUUGUUUUAAGAAUGUUCAGUUGCAGUGAGGCAAGAAAAGUUCUGAUGAGCUUGUAUUUAGUGUCCACGAGAGGGCUCUGUCAGCUCAGGGCUGCCUGCUGAAGGUCUCUGGCUGAGUCACUUCACUAAAAUGGCAGGUUGCAGUAACUGGAUUUUUACUGUCACUGAGGAUGGUUAGAUCUUUUGAAUUCCCUGAUCUUAAUAGUGCAACAAUCGCUUGAGAUAAUAAUUGCUAUUACCGGGAAAAUCCUCCAAUAAAUAAUCAUAGAAUCAUAAAAUGGCCUGGGUUGAAAAGGACCACAGUGAUCUUUGAGUUUCAACCCCCCAACCACCAGACCAGGCUGCCCAGAGCCACAUCCAGCCUGGCCUUGAAUGCCUCCAGGCGUCCACAACCUCCUUGGGCAACCUGUUCCAGUGCGUCACCACCCUCUAUGAGUGGAAAAACUUCCUCUUAAUAUUUAACCUAAACCUCCCCUGUCCCAGUUUAAAGCCAUCCCCCCUUGUCCUAUCACUACCCACCCUUGUAAACAGCUGUUCUCCCUCCUGUUUAUAUGCUCCCUUCAAGUAUUGGAAGGCCACAAUAGGGUCUUCCCGGAGCCUUCUCUUCUCCAAGCUAAACAAGUUCCCUCAACCUUUCCUCAUGGGAGAGGUGCUCUAGCCCUCUAUCAUCUUAGUGGCCCUCUUCUAUAUAAGUUUGUUGUGGUUUUUUUCUUCUGUUUUUGUUUGCUUGUUUUGUUUUAAUUAAGAAUGUACAGCAAGGUAUGCUUUAUUUUGAGAAAUGUCACAUCUGUUGGAGAACCAUCACUGGAACUUUAAUAAACAUCAGUGGCCAUAUCAUCUGCUCCAUGGAACAAGAGAGAUACUAUCAAGCAUAUCAUUACAUGUGGAUUUCAACUGUAUUAGAAGUUUCUCCAAGUAAAUGUUGAAGCAUUUUGCACACAACAGCAUAUUCGUGAAGUAGAUGGAAUUGUUAUGAUGUGCCUUAAAUAUAAGUUUAUUUUAGCAGUAUAAGCAUGGUGCUAUCAUGUUUCAAUAAAGAUUUGUGGUUUUCAUUACAAAUCCUUUAGCCUCUUUUUUUUUUUCUUCCUAGAAAUGUGUAUACAUGUGUUAACUUGUCAAGUUCUCAUAAAUUCUCUUUGAAAAAGAAUUACAGUUGAAAAAGAACCAAACGCUGUGAGCCCAGGUCACGUGAAUUGCUGUUCCUUAAUCUUUUCUUGCCCAGUCAGUACUGAAGUAGUUCUGGGGAGUCUUCAGUUAUUAUCAGUGUGAUUUUUAUAUUGGAUAUGGCAUAAAUAAGUUCUUUUGUACAAAUAUUGAGAGUAAUUCUCAACUAUUCGUGGAAAUGUUGAGACUAAUUUUUAGCUAUAAACUUAAUGCUUGUGGCAGUGUAGAAGUGACAUCGGGAAUGAAGAAAGUGAGGUUUAAGUGAGAAGCUAAACUGAAAUUAACAAUUAUGAUCAGUGAUAUCCUUACAAAAAGAUGUUUAUACACCCACUAUUAUAGGAAGAAUUGUGCAGAAUGAAGUCACCCUCCUCUUGCUUGCAUACAUUUUUUGUAUGGGUUUCAGUGCUGCAGUGUUCCAUGUUUGUCCUCUGAAGUCUGUAGUAGCUUAUCUCCCUUGCUUUGUUUUAAUUUGUUUCCUCCUGUGACAUCUGAAAUUGUACAGCAGCUACUUAAUUGCAAGAUAAAAGAAAAAAAAAACUUGUAUUGAAAAGAUGUGACAUUUAAUUGUAGCACUUGCUUGUCUCCUAAAAGGCCUGUUAUACGCACAGUUUCUUUUCAUUAAAUUAUAUAGAUAUACAUAUUUGCACCCUAUGAACAGAAGCCUGGGGAAAAGCUCAGACUUUAAACAAUCACUUAUUGAUAAUGGGGCACUGUAGAGUACAGUAGAGCAGAUAUGUCUGAAUCAUCCUUCUGCUCCCUUCCCCAUCAGUAGCCUUUUAUCUUUGUCCACAGGUUUGUUUUGAUACUAGUUGCGGGAGUCAUGAAGGGACAGAGGUGCAGUUGGUUUCUAUCACUGUGCUUCAAUUUGAGAUGCUUGAUUGUAGAAAGUUGAUCUGCAUUCUUUUGUAGUUCCAUGUUAGGCUAUGGUGGUGAAUUCACUGUGGUGAAUGAUUUAAGGUCCGCGUGCUGGGGAAGGAGGAAAAUAAAAUUAAGGACUUUUCCUAGAACUGUAUCCUCUUUUAAACGUGGACAUACAAGAGACAUUGUUUCUAGCAUGUGUUGCUGCCCCUUAAAAGACUGGAUACAAACAAGUAAGUUGCUUCACAGAACUGGCAUUUCUGGAGGCAGAGAGAUUAGAGUAUGACUGCAGACUGAGGCUCACAGACAUAAAAAUAGCAAAACUGUUUGUAGCAUGAAUGGAAGCAAGGAGAGACAAAUGUAAUUUAUUGUAAUAAAUUGUUGUAGUAGAAUGCUUGUGGAAUGUUAUAUUUCAACAGUUGUCUUUGCUGUUUAUCCUGUGGACUCCAGAGAAUAUUUUUUAAAGCUAACUUCUGGCAUUUUACUUGGAAAAACACAAGGUGUGUGGAGAGGAGAAGUGAAAAAAUCUAACCCACUGGAAUUAGACACAGGAUAUUUGGCUUCAGAUCCUGUAGAAUUUCCAACAGGUCUUGUCUUCCCGCUGGCUUAUCUCCUACUGACUUCAACUGGGGGCAUUGUUGUUAGCAGAAGUUAAUACUGCAUGCUCCUAAACAUAACCUUCCACUUUGGUUUUGUUUCCUCCAUGUUUGCAAGCAGAAGUCAACAUAUCCCUUUCCUCAUCUGCUUUCUCGUGUGGUUAUGUUGUUGCUUCUCCAGAACAUGUAGUCUUCUAGGUGCUCAAGGCUCCCUAGCAUACUAGGCAUCUAGCUACAGUUGGCCUCUGGCUACUACUGUAAUACAAUCAUCAAACUUUUUUGAUCUGCAGAGAAAUUAAUAGUUGUAUAAAAUCUGAGACUUAAGAAAUAUAAAAAUCACAGAUUGGCUGAGGUUGAAAGGGAUGUCUGGAGUCACCUGCUCAAUCCCAGUCCAUGGUGUCCAGGCGGCUUCUGAACAUCUCCAAAGAGGAGACUCCAUGGUUUCUCUGGGCAGCCUAUGCCAGUGCUCAGAAAAGUUUCCUGAUGUUCAGACAAAACCUCCUGUGUUCCACUUGGUGCCCAGUGCCUCUUGCCCCAGCACAUGGCACUACUGAGAAGAGCCUGGCUCCAUCCUCUCUGCACCUUCUCCUCAGGUAUUUAUACACAUUGAUAAGAUUACCCCUGAGCCUCCUACAUGCAAUGCUUUAGGUGAGGCUGCAUCAAUACAAAGUAUAGAAGGGAAAUCACCUCUUUUGACUGGCUGGAUGUGCUGUGUUUAACGCACACCAAAAUGCUGUUUGCCCUCUUGGCUGACAGGGCACACUGCUGGCUCAUAUCAGUUAAUUAAAUUUUCUUAAAAGAAGAACAUGAAGUUCUACAGGUAAGAAAUGAUUUUGAGUUUCAAAGUUUCAAAGUACUUUUAUUUGUCUUUUAGAUCAUUUUUCUCAUCAUUUGGAGAAUUACAUGCAGCUCGCAAAUGGUGCGUGCUUCCUAAGUGCAGCACUCCAAACUAUACAAGCUUGAGCAACCCUACAGUUUGCUCAUACAAAAUAACCUCUGGCUAAAUUCUUUACUCAGAGUGGUGAGGCAGUGGUACAGGUUGCCCAGAGAAGUUGCAGAUGCUCCAUCCCUGGAGGUCUUCAACACCGAGAUGAGUGGAGCCCUGGGCAGCUAGACCUAGUGGGGAGCAUCCUUCCCCAUGGCAGAAGUUGGGGCUAGGUAGGCUUUAAGGUCCUUUCCAACCCAAGCCAUUUUAUGGUAUUCAGUCUUUAAUUGAGGGGGGAAAACAAUGUAGACAUCUUAGAAACUUUAUUUCCUGCUUAGCUGGUAAUCUUGUUGAUGCCUAAAUGUUACAACUUUUAGGGGAAAGAAAAAGUGUUGCAGGGAGUGGGGCACAGAGAUUCCAUAGUGUCAGCAUUCAUAGCCUACUGAUGACCACAAGAGGAAAAGGGCUUGGGGUUCUGCUCCUGGGGAUUUUGAUGUUCUGUUCAGUAAUUCCUGUGUUACAGGAAUUGCAUGAAGAAGUGGUGUGUAGCUGCCAACCUGCUGACUCCAGGUAAGUGUGCUUAGCAAGCAUUUUUAGUUAUAGUGUUACCCUUCAGCAUUAAACACUCUCAAGGCACUGAAAAGGGAACUGAUCCGCCAUCACAAGGUCCUGCUUCCUUCUACAAGUGGUCUGUCUGCCCAGGAUGUGGAGACCAGCUAUAGAGAAGGUAAAUGUCAAAAUGUGAAAUGCUAAGUCUGUAUGAUCUCUGUAUGAAUACAGAAUCAGUUAGCUUGUCUAAUUGAUGGGAACUUUGCUCUGCUGUUUCUGAAGAUUUGUUGCUUUAGAGCUUUUUAUGACACUUCAUUCCUCGCCCACUCAGGAAGAGGUGUUCUGUAGCAACUGCUACCACCGCCUGCUGAAGCUUUCUAUCAAGCCAUGUGCAACAACUUCUCAUAACUAAAAAAAGAAACAACAAACCCCAAGAAGUCCAAGUGUCAAAACCUGUUAUGGCAAAGACGUAUGCCACUGGUAUGCUGCACACCAAUGUUACUAUCCCACCAAUAAAUGCUGUUCCUCUCACUACAGGACUGCCAAAUGACUCAUUAUGAAUAAGAACCUGACAUUGCUGUACCCAAGCAAGCAAAAAGGGAAACAUCUUAAUAUCUUGUAGUACUUGUUUGUCAUCAGUUAUGAGUGUGGUAAAUGGGUGUGUUAUGCUAAUAACAGAGAGCAGUUACCCUGCAGCAUUGUAAGUGCUUUUCUACUCAUUAUACCAUGUCCCUCAACACAACGUCCAAACGUUCCUUGAACUGCAGUUCUUCCUGUGGUGGGUUGUCAGUCCUGUGGAGUAAACCCUGCCAACAAAUGUGUGUGUCAGUAGCAGUGUUUGGUGCUUCCCACCCAGUCCACUGGGUAUUCUGCACAUCACAGGAAAUGUCUGAAAAUGCUGUGUUGUUCACUGACAACCACUUGUGGUUUGGUUUAGAGGCUGAGCAAAUGGCUUCUAAAUAUAUGUUCCUUUCUUCCAAUGAAAGAGGAUUAGAGCUGCUGUUCUGUCAUUUUCAGAGGCUUCCCCACCCUUUUACUCUAGUUUCAGUCGUUCUGACCUCUCCGUUGUUGUUUAGGUGUGGUGUGUGUGCAGUUUUAUAUUGUUUAGAUAAUGCACUGAAUGUUCAUUUACUUAAUGCCUGCUGUUUGCCUGCACAUAUUUCUAACUAAGAAUGUGCAAAGCUGCUGGAGCCAUGCAAGCUGCCACAUGGGGAAAUGCAGAAGGGGAACUUAAUGCAAGUGAUUCUUAAAUGUAACGAUGCACUGUCCACCACCAGCAAGCUUUCUGAAUGCAAGGGGCUAUUUUCAUUUUGGACUUAAAACAUCUGGUUGUACAAAGUCUGAGGAGGUGUUUUUGUUACAAAUUAAUCGCUGCCAGUAAGGACUGUUUAUGCACCUUAAUGUCUGAGCCAGUUUUCCUAAUGAAAAUUCAUAAGAUUUUCUAUUCUUUAUCAUCUACCUCUUCUACAUGCAUACUUGUGGAGUUCAAUCUUUCUGGAAUGUGUGCGGUUCCUCUCACUAUUCCAAAGAUUAUUAAGAGAUAACCAACCCUGAGUUUACUGUGAGGCACAAGCAGUUGCAUAGGUGUAGAUGCUUUUUUACACUGUUGGUAUGAAUUUCAAUCCAAGUAAGUCAAAACUAUGCUAGAGAGUAAAUCAGAUUUCCCAAGUUAGGUGACUAACGUCCACAAACAUAGGAGGGAUGCAAUGUUCAGUUCCCCUCUGAGUAACAAUUUAAAUAGAUCUUAGUGGCACAGUUUGGGGUAAGUAAGGGCCCACCUCAGGCAUUCGGUGCCUCAAGGUCAGAACCAACUAUAAAAAUGCAUGUGUCUUACCAUUAAACAAUUUGGACAAAUUCAGAAUUAAUAAUAAAAUAAUAAAAUAUCCUUUUCUACUGUGAGGGGCAUCAAUUCCUGAUAACCUGGGAGCAAUUUAGGUACUGAGCUAUUCCAGAUGGGGCUGCAUUAGCACCGUCUUGAAUCCAAGCUGUGGACAGAAGUCAGCCCUCAGAGGCCACCCUCACAGGUAUGGCCAGGAGACGUCAGUGGUGUGUGCCAGCCUGUACUGAGAGGUGGCAUCAGUGGACAGCCCUCAUCCUCUGCUUCUCACUGACUCCUGGAGCUCUCUCUGUUUUCACUUCUGGAUGAUGUGUCCUGAGGCUCUUGGCCUUAGGACUGUUAUAUGUGGCUGAGACUUCUAUCACAAGCAUCCAGUUUUUCUGCUCGUUAUGCAGAUGAGAGCAGCAGUUCUCAGCAGCAGAAGGCAGCAACACGAACUCUCACAAAGAACAUUUUUUGUGCCUUGAGAAAUACAGAAAAGCUCCUCACACUCACUGUUUGUUUACAUUGUAUUAUUGCUCAAAUGUGACAAAGCUGUUCGUUCUUCCCUCCCUGGGGCCAUUUCCAUGCAAUGAGAACUUUUUGCUGCUGCAGGUGAGUACAAGACGUCCGUGGCUCCAACCUCUGACUGCCAGGAGAGCCCACUCUGUGCCUGCCAGCGCACCACCUCUGCUGUUCUUUUUGUUUCUUAACUGAUCUUUCCACAAUAACUUGGAUACAUAUUGCAGACUUCUUGCUUGGACUGGUUAUAGAAGAACCGCCUAAUUCAAACAACGGUUUUGGCUUGCUGGGUUUUGUUUUGCUUUCCAACUUUCGGUUUGAACGCUCCAUGCGGCCAAACAAACAGCUGCAGAGCCCUGGGGCUGUUUCCUUCACUUACAGCUGGUGGGAAGCUGCUGUGCUGCUGCUGUCCGUGGGUCGCUGUGGAUUUCUGCACCCACCUGCACGACUGAGGAACAUUCAUGUUUGCGUCACGAAUCUCACAGUGUUAGGUGCUUCGCAGAGCUCUAAGUCCCCAGACAGGAUUUUGUGAGAAAUUCGGCCUUUUCUUUCAUAAUUGCCGGCGCUCAGCUCACCUGUGCCCCCAGACCCGCCCCGUCCCUCCCAGAGCUGUCAGCCCGGGGCCCGGCCCUGCCGUCCGCUCCACACCGCCGCGUUGCAUAACGCCUCCCGCCGGUCCGGGCCGGGCGGUGGCGCAGCGGGGAGGGCCGAGGGCGGGCUCUCCGCACAGCGAGCGAAGCGGACUAAGCGAAGGGAGAAGCGCCGCGGCCCCGGGGGGACGCUCGUUGGCGGCGGGUGCCGCGGCGGUGAGUGGGGCGCGGGCCUGCCUGCUCGGGGCUGCGGGGAAUAACGGUGAGGCGGCGCUUUGCGGGAGAGCUCCUGCGUCCUGUCCCGUCCCGCCCCGGCGGGGGUGGACGAGGCCCCUGACAGCGCAGAGCGGCAAGGGCAGCCCUGGCGGCUGCGGCACGGCCGUGCGGCUCUAACGGUGUCCCCGCGGCGCAGCUCCUGCGUGACGGUGCGGCUGCGGGCCCUGCAGCACCGUUCCUCAGUGGAGUAAGCGGGCGGGUAAAGCCUCUUAUUUAAUGCCUGUCGUUUAAAUAAGAAAAUAACCGCAUCUCUCCACGAGGAGCAGCCCGGUAAGAGCGCGAGCAGCGGCUUGCAACUUUUCUUCCCUAGGUGCCUGGCUCUCGCUGCCAGCCGGCUGUGGCUGUCACGUUCAUGCGGCACUCCGUGCCCACGCUUUCUGUUUCCUAUCCUUCCUUUGCCCCCUGCUGAAGAUAGCCCAGCUCAGCUCGAGCGCUUCUCACGCAGCACUGUCCCGAGCAGCGAGGAUAGUCCCGGUUUGUCCUUAAGAGCCGUUACCGUCACCUUCACAGCCCCACUCGAUGCACGUUAAGGUUCUGGCUUCUCCUAUGCCCUUUUCUGCCGCUGUGUUUAUUUCCAAAUGCUUAUCGGUUUGACUCGUAUGACCCUAGGUCUUUGUUCUGGAAAACUUUGUUCCUAGAAAUAGGUCCUCUCAAAUACAUUUACAGAGCGAAACCUGCAGGAGUCAAUGAUUAAUUGUAAAAAUGAGGGUUGCAAGACUAUGCUUCUACAGUUUGCCAAAGCAGUGGGUUGCCUCCCUUCUCCGUUGCCUUGCUAUCUUAUUUCACUAAUGAAAAAUAGCAUCACUGUGCUGAUCAGACCAGCUCCUUGCUACUACUGCUUUUGGACGCCACUUUUAAGCCCCCUAUGUGCCAUCUGAAAGCCUCUGGGCGCAGUGGCUGUUAUUUGAAGAAGGAAUUUGAAAAAUGCAGCAAGAUUGAUUGGUUGCCUGUCAACCGUUCUGCUGCUUUUUCUAAAAGUGUCUCAAAUCCGUGGGCAGUUGAAAUGCAUGUUGGCUUGGCAUGGCCUCUGUGGUUGCCAAGUGUGUAAAGAAAGCAAGGAAAUGCAACCCGCCACAGUCCCCUGGCAACUUUUAUUUCAAGAAGCAAACUCGUAGUGAGUCAUGGGAGCAUUGUUCCCUCCACAUGAGCUGCCAGGAAGUGGAACUUGACACAGCUGAUGGGCUCUCCAUAAAACAGUUUUUUUUUCCCUACACACAGUGUUUUUUCCACAUUCUUCAUGAAUCACCAGAUCCCGAGCCCUCAAACUCCCAAAGAAGACAGAAUUUACCGCCUCUCAGGGUGUGGUGCUGCAAGUUUGCCCCUUCCUGUGUUGGUUUCGAUUAUUCUGUUAUGUACUUCGCUAUUUCUUCUCUCCCUCCCAUCCUUGUCAGAAGUUUUCCACAUCUGUGAACCAUUCCCAAUGUGUAUGUCCUCUGUCUGGCUUUCAUACACUAGUUGACAAGAGCAUCUUGCCUUUCCCUUUGGGUAAGCCAUUUUUGUUCCCUCCAGUUCUCUGUGACUCUCAAAUCAACCAGAAAAACAUCUCUGAACGCUUGUGCUCAGGAUGCAGCUGUACUUCCAUAUACACCUGUGUGAUAUGGGUAGAUGCUCCAAGCCUAGCACCUGCGUCACAGCUUCAAGGAUAGCUAGCUUUCAUCUUUUACCACAGCUUCUAUGGGAAAUAAGGUGUUUGUUGUCCCUUAAUCAUAGAAUGGCUUGAGUUGGGAAGGACUUUAAAGUCCACCCGGUUCCAACUCCCAGCCAUGGUCAGGACUGCCCCCCACCAGAUAAGAGCCCAGGGGCCCCAUCCAACCUGGCCCUGAAUGCCUCCAGGGGUGGGGCAUCCACAGCUUCUCUGGGCAGCCUAUGUCAGUGCCUGAUUGUAUAUUAAUAUUUGUAUACACGUGUGUUGUAAGUAGGUGAUUUCCUUCUAUGAAAAUUGAUGGCUCAGCAACAUGCUGACUUACAACUGAGUAACUCAUAGAUUUAUGGCCAUUUAUACUAUCUGAAAUUGCCACACCUCAGUGUCAAAAUAAAGAUAGCAAACUUGUUUGAUAGGGAAGGGCAUUUUCAUUGACAGUCUAUAUAAGGUUAAUAUGCAGUCUUUGAUGUCUCUGUCUGAACAGAAAGUUCAGAUUGCUCUGACCUAUAAUACAGUGCUUGUAUUCUGAGGAAAGUUAUGGUUAUUUUAAAUAUGAGCUGGGCCUGUUAGUUUCCUUUUGGCAGGACUGACUUGUCAUGUGUGUUAAUACAGGGAUCUUAUCUAUGUUAUACCUCGCAGAAGACUUGGGCCUGACAGGAAGCUCUUCAUAGCAAGGGAUUUCAUGGGAAUUCAUGUUUUGGCUGUAGUAUGAUGAGGAUUAAGUUGCCAUCUCAGCCUUGGGAUCUCGUGGAACAAAUGCGUGAAAUAAUGUACUAGUGGAAACUGAGGGAAAUGGCAAGGAGAAAUGACAUCCAUGAGGUUGUAGUUUGCUUGGAAAUCAGAUAUCAAGUUUCAGGUUGCUUGUUUUACUCUUAAUUGGUGCUUGUUUAGUGAUAUUAGAAAGAUAGAAUAGCCAUUUUUUACUGCUGUGCUAUGCUGUAAGCCUUUUCAUUACUAUAACAGUAGUACUUGGGAGCACAGGAUGAGUGAGAGGCCCAUGUGGAAUAGCAUGUGCCAGGAGAUUUGUUGUUAUACUUAGCACUAGUAUAUGUUAUUCAGAUACUGUGGCUGUCACCAGUGAAUCCUAGACACACAUAUGCUGCUACCCCUGCAGUUAAUAGUUAUUAAAAAGAACCACUGGCUUUAGUAGAAGAGCAGUCAGACCCACAGAAACUUUAGGGUUCCUUUCAGGCAGGUGAGUAAUGUGGUAUCUGUGGGAUAGCUGAACAAACCGAAGCAUGACAAGAAGACAGGCUAAGGGAACUGGGCUUGUUCAGCCUGGAGAAGAGAAAGCUACAGGGUGACCUCAUUGCAGCCUUCCAGUACCUAAAGGGAGCCUAUAAACAGGAGGGGAGCCAAAUCUUUACAAGGGUAGAUAAUGGCAGCACAAGAGAAAAUGGUUUUAAGUUGAAGGAGGGAAGAUUUAGGUUGGAUGUCAGGGGGAAGUUCUUUACCAAGAGAGUGGUGAGGUGCUGGAACAGGCUGCCCGGAGAGGUUGUGAAUGCCCCGUCCCUGAAGGUGUUCAAGGCCAGGUUGGAUGGGGCCUUGGGCAGCCUGGUCUAGUAAUAGAUAUGGAAGUUGGUGGCCCUGCCUGCGGCAAGGGGGUUGGAGCUCGAUGAUCCUUGAUGGUCCCUUCUAACCCAGGCUGUUCUAUGAUACUGUGUUGCCUGCCCAGUGUGCUGGCUUCCUCUCCUAGACACAUUUUCCCUGUUACUGGGGAGUGACAGCAGUUUGUAAUCCCCUCCAGUGUCAUGCCUUGUGGGGCUAAAUAGCAGAAUAGUCAGGAAGUUAUCUUCGACUGAGUGAGAGAAGUCCUUCAAAACUCCUUGAAAAUAUUUAAUUUUCAAGAGCAAGUGUACCUGUAAGUAUUGUUUUGAUUCAGGCUAGCAUACACAGCUUGAGAUUUGAAUUCUGGAAGCGUUUGCAUAGUUCUUCUAAGUGACAUGUGCAGACAUGGAAGCCCCAGCUCAUGACUCCCAAACAAUGUAUGAAUGGGCUAUUGCUGAGUAUAUGGCCAUCUUCGCUCACUUAAUGCAUUAGAGUGGUUUAGAAGAGCUGUGUUCUGUGCCACAGGUUUGCUCUGUGGUGUUGGUGAGCAUGUACAGCUGGAGGUUGGAGUGGGACCACAGGUCAGAGGCUGUGGUCAGAGGCUGCUUCUGAAAGUUAGGCCCUUAUGAGAGCAUCAUAUCUCCAUCUGUGAAAGGAGAUGCUAACAUCUCACCUUAUUGGUGAUGUUAGUUGAUGCUAUGUUGGAGGUAUCACACUGAGAUACAGUAAGCAACCAUAGUGGGUCUAGGUACUUGGACUUACUUAUUUACAAACCCAGAUUAGAGCUGUUACCCCACAAAAUUAUCUCACACUGAUUUAUCUCACCUGUUCAUUCAAUUGGACUGACAAAACAGCAAUGAAAAAUAGACUAUGAAAAAAAUGUUAGGGUUACUUUAGCUGUCUCCUCUCCACCUUAAGCAGCAGUAUGAUAUGAUUUCAAGCAUUGUAUCCUUGUCUUUUAUUUUCUGACCAUUAUAUCUAGGCAAUCGUAAAAAUAUAUAUUGCCCCUGAUUGAGGAAUAGUUUAAGAGAUAUAUCUGAUCACUACCCAGAUGCUGAACUCCAUUUUCAGUGCAGCCUGCAGAAGUUCAGGGACACUGAAAAUGGAAGGUGAACAGAUACUGAUAUACCCACCAUGUUUUCAAGUUGCUCAGAUGGAAAGGUGGUGUCACGUGAGGAGAUUAUGCCAGUAAGGAAGAGAAACCAAUCUUUGAAACUGCUGUUUCUUCCCCAAGCUAUAUAUUUCCUGUAGCUUAAAUGGCUGAUUUUAUUUCAAGCUCGUCUCCUUGUAUGAGCACUGCUGUGGCCCUGUGGGAAUGCAAUAGCUGUUAUGUGAAUGGCCGAUGACAGUGUAUGACAAAUACAGGUGAUGUUCCAUAUUUAAGUCAGCAGAAAUGCUCUAUUGCCACAGUGGUGGAAACGAGCAGGCUAGGCACGUGCUCUUUGUAAUGUACAUAUCUAAUAAUGCUAGUUCAGUAAGAGAAGAGCUUGUGUUAAUUUAGAUCUCCAGAUAAAGAAAGCACCCAAGGAAAAAAAAAAAAUUCUCACUGCCUUGUCAUUUAAGUCCAUGGGAAAAUCUUGGCUCUGUGACAAUGUUGCCAUUGACUUUAGCAGAGAUUUGGAUUUUCUCUUGUAUUCUCAAAUCAUAGACCUGUUACUAAAUUAGUUGUUUUGGCAGUGGGUGCAUAUUGGGGUGAGACCCAAACCUACAAAGAAUACCUUCAGCCUAACAGAAGGGAAAAUAAGUUCAAGCUUUUCUGUUAUUUUUUUUUUCCUUACAUGUAUAAGCUUAAAAUUGUUGUACAACCUUUACCCAUCUUCUCAUGUCCUUGGACCUUAGCUAUUGCUUUAUUCUUUUUAAGACACUUUUAGCAUAGAAAUAAUUUCUUUACCCAGGAUGUCUGGCUUUUCAAAUCUAGUUCCAGGCAUAACUGCUUCUCCUCUGAUGGAUUUCAGUGAGAAGGUAGUGCCAUUGGGUCCAAGCUCAUGAUAACUGCACUGCAGGUCCUUGUCAGACAAAUGGUUCUGUUUUAGAGGUCCCCAGAAUGAUUUUUUACUGUCUGAGGAGAAGUUCAUGUAUUAGUGUAGAAUUGAUAAGUGGUAAGGGAGACAAAGAGGAAGGAAGAAAGAGAAUAGUAGAGAAGUAGACUCUGAUGACGGUGAUAGGACCUGAGGGAAUGGCAUGGGGUUGUGAUAGCAGGGAGAAUCAGGCUGGGUAAUUAGGAAAAAGUUCUUCACUAGAGGGUGGUGGGCAUGGAACAGGCUGCCUAGGGCAGUGGGCACAGGUCCCAGCUGCUGAAGUUCAAGGAGUGUUUGGAUAACACUCUCAGACAGAGGAUUUGAAUUUGGGGUGGUGCAGUAUGGAGCCAGGAGCUGGACUUGGUGAUCAUCCCGGCUUCCUUCCACUUUGGAAUAUUCUGUGCUGCUAUGAUUCUGUGAAGUGACAAAGAGGAGUUAUUCCAAGGGGGCUGGGGAGCAGGAGCGCGUUGCGGCCAAUGCUUGGCAGGCUGUGCUCACCUACAGGGUUUUGCAGUACAACCAUAGCUAUGUCAUCUCUGGCUGCCCUCACACGGUCAGCUUUUGCAGCCUUCCUAUCAGUGCAGACCUUGCUGCUCACAUCUCCAAACUGCUUGCAGCACCAGGUACUGCUUCCAAUACCAUAGAAAAUAAGUAGAAACACCUGUCCUUUUGCAAAAUACUUCUUCAGAUAUUCCCCCUACAGGCACCUCUGGUUGUGCUUGUAAGCCUUAACCAUCCAGUGGCACUUACCUCGGGCUGCCUGGGACAGGGGCUACCAACAACCCCAAAGAUCUUGCUUUCAGCAGUACUUGUUUCUUGCCUCAGCUGUUUACUUACCCAGCUGUUGGGUGUAGUGAGAAUACUUAAUUACGAAGAAGAGCUGUUAGCAUUUUAUUUCACAGCCAAGCAAAGUAGCAUUUGCUACCUGAUGAAAGAGCUGAAGGUGCUUUAAAAACAUUUUUGUAAGUAAUUACAUGGACACAUUUAAUCACUUAAUCCCAAUACUUUAGACGUCACAGAUUAUUUUUUUAUUAUUAUUAUUUAAGCUUUGCUGGUGUUGAAAAAUUGUAGUUAGUCAGUGCUUUGGAAUUUACCUGAACAUUAAUAACCUGUUUCAGUGCUCCACAGGUAAUUUCUUUCCACAGUGUCCUUUUCCUAUGCUGUCUAUCACUGCGGUAUUUAUGAAACUCUUGUAGGUUUCACCUUAGUUUGGGGAUUUGUAAGAUGAUUUUUCACUUAAGCAACUAUGCUAAAAGAUAAUCCAUAUCUUCCUCAAACAAGACUUAACAUUUAUCAGAGUUUGGAUUUGUGUGGGGGAUUGUAUGGGGUUUUUUGUUGUUGUUGUUGUCCGUUUGUUUGUUUUAAUGCCAAGAAGUAAAGUCAAAAUACUUAUUUUCUUCUGGAAAGGGGCAGAGCAUAAUGACUGCCUGCCUUAGCCUCGUUUUUCAGAUGCUCAGCUUGGAGGCGAUAUACCUAAAUCAUUAGGCUCUACCUAAUGAUUCACUGUUUGCACAGAGUGCAGCUGUACCAGAAAGACCAACAACCUGACACCUGCCUGUACUGCUGCCAGUACCUCCAGGCCCAGUACUUGAGAGAAUUUGAAUAUUUGGUGUAGGUGUUGGUUCCUAUGUUGGCAAAAGUGUUACCCUUGCACUGCUACAGACCAUCAGGGAAUCUGAAGUGAUCCAGCCGGUUUCCUUACUAAAUGAUUGAAUGUGUUUUAACACAGAUGUCUGGCUAAAGAACAUGCGGCUCAAAUGCUGUCUUCUAACACAACAGAAACAGUAGAAGGUCUGAGGGGUGAGAAAAAUACUUCCAUUCCUUGAUAAACUGUCAGUAGUGUUCUUCAAAUGGGAAGUAAGGAGAUGGCAGGUUAGCUGCGGUGGGGACAUUCACUAUGCUUUUCUGAAACUACAGUUUCCUUCUCAAAUAUGCUUUGCUUUGAUCUAAAUUACAGAAAGAUUUAUGGGGAAUGUUGCAUUUCUGACUGCUAGAUUAAUCCAUUCUUUUCUGCCUCUGGCCUGUGGCUACUUGAAGUCACUGGGGUACCUGCUGGGCUUCUUUGCUUUCAUUGUUAGUCUGCAAGCUGAUGUGCUUUGCAUCAUUUCUGAGGAUUAUUCAGGUUAGCAAAAGCCUAACAAAAUAGUUGGAAAAUAGCUGGUUUAUCAGUUCUGUCUCUGAAGUGCACUGCCACCAUGACCAACUCCUCUUCUGUUUGUUGUCAUUUUUCACUACUGGUGGCAAAAUUCUGUGCUCAGUUGGCUCUGUUGGGGUCCCUGUCUUUGAGGGGGUUUGCAUCUUAUCUUGAACUGACGGUCUUCAGUUAAUCCACUGUAUUAGAAACUCCAUAGCAUUAGUCCAAUAUAGAAUUUCUAUCCCAUUGUUGUUCUUCCAUUUAAUUUUUCUUUCUGUCCCUUUUCCUUUCUUCAUCUUUUCCCAUGCUUGUUUGCAUGUACUGCUUGGUUCUGCUCACUGAGAUGGAAGGAGGGGACAUAGUUUUCUCCCCAUUUAACUUCUAAUUUGGAAGUGGAAUCUGAAUCAACUUUUUUUCUUCCAGAUUUCCCUUUCCCUGUUUUCUCCACCUUUCCUCCUUAUGUUCACUGUACUCUUAUGGAUUUUGUUCAGUGUAGUACAAAUCUGAUGCGCACCAACUGUAAAACUAGAGAUGUUUGUUGGCCAUUUGGAGUCAUUUGGGAUGUACACUAUCUUGAGUGUGUGUGGAAUCUAGUUUGGCCCUGGAGUACAUUAACUGAAUUUACACUGCUAAGAUGGUUCCAAUGGCAAUGGGUGGGUUGACCAAACCAGUGGGUUUUAAUUCAUGGAAUGUCUAACAGCAGGAGUACUCAAAGGAAUUAUCAUUAAUUGAGGGAAAAUGCUGCUUAAUAUUUUCCAGUGGUUUCAGGGACUCAGAAAUAGAGAAUAAAUCAUGCUUUCCAUCGUGAGAGAUGGUUAAUGCAUGCAAAAUGUAUUCCAGUCAGCCAAACAGUGCCUCCAGUCAUAUUGCCUGCAAAUACCAGCUGACCUCCACUUUACAUGGCACAGCUUUAAGUGAGAGCAGAAUCUAGAUUAGUGUGUCAGCCUGCAAAGGGGAUCUCUUGCUGGGGAUCUGGGAAUGAAAAAGAAGGAGAAGAUAAAGUGGGUAGAGAGGAAAUUUAUAAUUAUGGUAGCAGUUGAACUAAUAAUUUUAUAAAAUCUCAGCUCUGACAUGUAUCUGUCUGCACUACUACGUCUCACUGGUUUUCAUGCUGACUAUUCUGGACUUGUUCCUGUUCAGCAAACGUUUGUCAGGCGUGAUAAUUUCAAGCAUUAAUCCUUAGGAAUUAACCUGCUUGUUAGUUGAUGACCUGAACUCUUGGUAAUUUCUGGGGAUUAUUUCUAUUUAAAUCUUACCUUUCAAACAGAGACAGCACACUGAUAGAUUUCUUUUUGUUAUUUUUAUUUUUCUGGUCUCCCAUUUACACUUCUAUCUCCCUGUCUCGCUGCUACCAUUGGGCAAGCAGCAGAGAGGAAAUCCUGCACUGCCUUGGCACUGGUGAAGAGGAAGCCUCGGGUUUCUCUUCACACCACAUGCUGCUGAUGCCAAUCCCACUGAGCUGCGCUCCAGUACCAGCCUUGUGGUGCUGCACACCCCCAGGGGAACACCAGGCAAAUCCCUGUGGGCUUUUAGCAGUCAUUCUUCCAGAACUCCUAGACUUUUGGUAAGGUUUUUGUGGGAUUUAUUCCUUUUAUUUCAUAAGGAAGUGAGAUAGUCAAGACCGUGCUGCCUGUGUUUCUCUUUCGGCUCCUGAUAACUUCUUGAACUUCUUCCACUCUGCAUUAAAUUUACUGGAGAGAUAGAAUCUUCAACGACAUUAAGUUCUUUGAAGUGUCGUAAAUUUGGAUUACAUUGGAAAGGAGACAGAAAUAAGCACUCUGCUAGGGGAGCGGGCAGCCUGUGUGUGUCAUAAACAAGUGGGUGCUGCCUGCCUGUUUGCUUGCUUUUCUCUGGGAAAAGCCCAUGCAUCAUCUGCUCAGUAGAAGGGUAGUAGCAGAGAGGCCAAGGGCAUUACAUAAUGAAAUAAGGACAGAUAAACUGUUCUUUGAGCAGCAGAGUGUAUUAUUCUAAGGGCAGAACGGAGAACACCUUCAUGUAAGGUGGGAAAAUGUAGUGAAACUAUCCCAGUCGUGGAGCUCACUACAAGGACAUGGCUGCAGAUAAAGGGCAGCCAGUGAGGUUAACAGCGUCUGUUGGAGCUGGGAGGGCAUAUCAGCUUUUACAGCCUCAAGCCAAACUGGGACUACUGGAAUUCCUUUCCUGAAAUUUGUCUAACGUGUGGUUUUAACUUCCCACAUACCACUGUUGAGACAUAACUUGGGUAUCUGCAAUAAAUCAAGACGAGAUAAAAGAAAUUCCAUAUUAAGUUUUAAGACGGGAGUAUAAUUUGCAUCUCACUUUGUCACUCAUGUUGUGCUCGUUGUGGCUUCUGUGAAAACUGUCCAGCUGUUGGAGGCUCUGUUGGGCUGCAGUUUAGCAGACAUCAGACCAGUAUGCUUUUUCUUUUGCAAAGGUGAUAACCUGGUUCCUUUGUUCUCUGAAUUAGCCUUUAGCAAGAUUCCCACUGAACCCUGAACUAUGAAUUCAAAGGGGAAAUACAGAGGGAGGAUUCAACUGAUGUGAAAUGCAUUUAAAAUAUAACACCUUUUAAAAGAUGGCUGUGGAGAUCACUGAGAAAAGAUUAUUUCUCUUAGACCAAAGUUGAGUUUGUGCCAUGGUGUAUACUACUCCUUGUAGAAGAAUUACAUAUUACUUGCAUUAUAAAAAUCUCUACCUUUAUGCUCCUUCCUGAUCUUAAUGUUUGAGAACCACCAGAGCAAUGACACAUUACUCAGGAAGUGUGUUUGUCAAAUGCACCACUGCACUGUAUGCAUGCAGGUCCACUGCUGAUGGUGAUCGCUUGCCCUGGGUGUGUAUCUGCAUUAGCCCUCUGGCAGCUGGUGGCCCAUGGGUUCAUCAUGCUUUGGGUGGGAUUUUCACAGCUACUCUGAGGAAUUAAGCCCUGUGUUCCCAAUGGAACCUAAAUAGAGCAGAGCUGCCAAAUCUUUCCAGCAGUUCACAGGAGGAAAAAAAAAAAAAAAGCCUUGGUUUCUUACAAUAUUCUUCUUUUUUUUUUUUUUUAAUGUGAUUAAGAUUGGAUGGUGCAAGACUGAGAAUAAUAAGCAUCAGCUUUACUCUGGCUGCUCAGCAAGGUAAUUACCUGCGAUCACAGCCUUAAAUAACUCUUGGGUCCCUCUUGCUAGAUGUGGACUGCUGAUAAACACAACUCGCAGCUGAGUGCUGCCACAGCUUUAUGCUUAGUUGUGUUUUUAAUUAACCUCAGUAGGAGGAGGUUGAAAUACCCUUUAGCUUUAUAAACCAUGAGACUCUAGUUAUCAUUCAGGCUAACAUGAUGACUAAAAAGACAGUGCUGCUUCAUUCAGGAGACCUGCAUCCUCCCUGCUGUGCAAUACUGGGCUACACGUGUUGCUGAGAUGUUGCUCUCACUGCAGAAACAAGCUCCCAUGCUGCUGGGAGCAAACUCCGCAGCUGAAGGCAGAGAUGCAUUCCUGGUCAUUAACCCACAGAGCCUGGCAAACGAGCAUAGGGGGGAGGGUGAUGAUGUGGAAACUGCAAGAGUUCAGGCAAAAAUGAGUCACAGGAAAACAGCCUCCUUUAGUCAGUUCCAGAAAUGUUCUCAAACCACUCAAAAUUCAUUUAGAGACACAGUUUUGCAGCAGUCUGCUUUGUUUCUGAGUAAAGAUUUUUGGGGAUAAGGUUGCUGGCAGUUCCAAAAACGUAUUGUUUAUGACAGAAGAAGGCCUUGUUUGCUCCACAGCCUAGCUUUGUCUGAACACAGACCACUGCCUUUUUGCAGUAUACAGCCUGGCAUUAUUGGCUUAGUGCAAAUAUUACUUUAAAUUAUGUCUGAAUUCUGGCUGGCUGGGUCUGACUUUACUUACCCUGAUGUAUCCUUUUGACAGCAUUUCAAUGAUUUAGCUCCAGCAGUGAUCAUUUUUCUCUUUCUUCAUAUGAACAGAUCUAACUGUUCGGUACAAGUUCAGUAGAUUUCUCCGUCAGCAUUGGCUUUGAUCCUACGGAACUCACACACUUACUUUAAUCAACAACUUCAGUAUUUAAAAUUAGGAAUAUCCUAAUUACUUAAGCUACUUUUUUGUUAUUAUUCCAAUGAAUCUCAAUUUUUCAUAGAAUUAUAGAGUCCAACCAUGAGGUUGGAAAAGACAACUAAGAUAAUAUAGUCCAGUCAUCAACCCAUCACCACCAUGCCCACUAAUCGUGUCCCUCAGUGCCAUGUCUCCACAUUUCUUAACUCUUCCAGGCAUAAUGACUCCACCACCUCCGUGGGCAGCCUGUACCAAUGGUUAACCACUCCUUCUGAGAAUAUUUUUUUUUCUAAUAUCUAUCCUGAACCUCCCCUGGUGCAACCUGAGAGAAGAGGCCAACCCCCACCUUGACACAACCUCCUUUCAAGGAGUUGUAGAGAGUGAUAAGAUCUUCUCCAGAAAAACAGUUCCAUAUUUUCCAUAUUUAUGUCCAGUAGCAUUAUCUAAUAAGAAUGAUUUGAAAGACGUGAAAAAUUUGAGGUUUUGCAGAGUUACUUCUUCAGCCAUUCUUCUGAAAGUGAGAAAAGGCAUUGUAUCCUUAGGAUAUAUUUGUUUAGUAUUUGCAAGUGACUUUAUAACAAACAUUGCUGGUAAACACUUGCCAUACAGGGUUGGUUAGUUUAACGGCUGUGUGCUUAGUGCUCCCAGGUUGGACACAGCUGGUCACUCAGAGGCUAAGAUACUUGACUGUUUUUUGGUGAAGUGGGAUGUGGGGUGGAACUGUAGUUAUAAAACUCCUAGAAACAAAUGUGGAUACAGUUAUGUGCAAGAAGGAAAGAUGCAGAAAAGAAAAGAGACUGACUUGGAGACAGGCUGACAUCCCAUAGCCCUGAGCACCUUCAUCAUGGCUAAAGGCUUCUUCAAGCCAUGGGGUUGCUGAAGAAGAAAUUUGUCCCACCACUGCCUGGAUCUCUGCCUGGAGGUGCUCCUUUCUCACAUUGGCUUCUCUGGGCUCCCGCAGGACUUGAAGCUUUAGGGGUCCCACAGACAGGCUGAGGCUUAGUGUAAUGAGUCCUCUCACUAAUGCCUGCAGAGCCAGAAAGGCUGGAGGAUCUGAGUAUCUCUGGUUCUAAGGGGUGGUCUGAGGACAUGGGCAGUAUCAAAGGAGCUUGCACAGAGCAUGGGAAAUGCAGUGGUGAUCUCCAAUUGUCCUUUCUUCUGUCCACUGCUGUGUGUCCCUAAGUAUUUGCUGGUGCUCUAUUUUCCUUGCUGAAACUUUUUUAACACAUAGUCUGUAAUCUCUACAAGACAGAUGUUACCCUAUGGAGCACUUCUGGCCAGUGCAGGAUGCUGUGGUAAGGCACAGUUUGUAUGUGGCCAUCAUGCUGGGGUCAUGAUGGUGGAAGUAGUCCUGCCCCUGGGAGUUACGAUGUGGUAGGCUGCAUGUAGAAGAGAUGGGCCACUGCUAGCCAGCCAGGGAAGGCAGAUAAUGUCUUUAUCAGGUACUGAUGGGGAACCAGAAAUGGGAUAUGAAGGAUCUCCAGGAAGAGUUAUUUGGUUAUAGUCUAUGUAACAACCUUAUUUGCAGAAUUUAUUUGGCAAAUGGUAAAGAAUAACCAUCCAUCAGAGAAAACUAUAUUGUCAGUACACAAUAUAUGAACAGCAAAAGUAGAACAGUUUAUUAGAUAUAUUACUUGUUCUGGAUUGUUCACUGAUCUCCAGCCAAGAUUCAGGUGGCACAAGAGUUUAUUAGUCAAUGUAUCAGUGUUGUGACUGGCACCCAGUGCUGUGGGAUCACGCAGGCCGUAGAGAACAAGUGGGAAAUAAUUAAAUACAUAAAUUCCAGCCUUCAGAGACUGUGAGAUUAAUGCUGUUGACUUGCAAUGCUUUUACUUUUGCUGACUGAUGGUAAAACUCUUUGGGUGCCGAACAAAGCUGAAACCAAACCUAUUCCAGCAGCUGGUGAGGAGUUCACCAAUUGGAGAUUGCUGGUAGGCAGCAGGUUCUCUUUAGAGGAAAUUUCAGAAGCAGACACCCUGGAUAUGAAAAAUCUCUGCUGUGGUUUUAGAGCAGAGGUGCUUAACCUGUGAUUUCCCAGACUAAAGAGUCUAUGAAAGGUGACUGGAAAAGCAAACUUGUUGUUAUUAUCUUUGAAAUCAUCAGACAGAUGCCUGCAUGUUUAUUGGGGAACUUCCGGGAUAUGUAAUAUAAAAGGUUAAAAUCACUCUCUGCAGUAUUUACACCACUGGCCUAACAUCUGAAAUACCAAUUUAAUUCUUGUCAGAUUAAGUGUUUCCCUAUUAGCUAGAAGCAAGAAACGCAGCCCCUUUGAUCCUGAGGUGUAACGUAAAGGGGACAGAGCACUGCCUGAGCCUGCAGGUGGGCUGAGGGAGCAAACACUCUGAAGGUUGGUUAGUAUCACAGUAAUGUGAGAUCAAAAUCUAAAACAGGCAGAUACCUAAUGCAGAUACUCUGUUUUUCUGAAGGUAAAAAUGAAUUCUAUACCGACACUAAAACAUGCAGCUUUUUAAUCUAGCUGAGCCAUCAUAGACCUGCUUGUCCCCUAGACUGACCUGGGAACAACAGAAUCCUAGAAACAUUAAGGUUGGUGUGAGUAGAGAGUGUAGGGAUAGGGGAGAGAAUUGUGAUUGAAUCCACUCCUGUACUCUUUCCUUCCAAAUGAAUUGAGUUAUAUCAAAAGUAAAAUUUCAGUGGUCAGAUCUGCUCAGGUUCUGGGGUUGUUCUCCAUGUCAGAAACAUCUCUGCCUCACUUGCAUAUGACAAUUCCACUCAGAAACUGAACUAGUUCAAUAUUUUGGAUCUUUUUUUAAUUUAUUCCUUUUAGGAAGUGACCUACAAGACCUGGGAAUUAUGUUAUUUACCUAUGAGUGAUAUAAAGCAUAACAAUGUCCCAUUUGCGCUGCCUUUCACCGAAGUCUAAAAUUAAUCUUUAAAAAAUCAGUUGAAAAAAUCAGGCUUUUUCAGUUAGCCUGGCACAGAAUAUGGCUAACAAACAGUCUUUGUUUUGUUUUUGUAUCAAAUGGAUGGAAAAUUGUCUGGUGUGAUCAUGUUGUAACUGAACGUCUUGCAUUAGCUGUGGGCUUCCAUGGGUUCUUUUGUAGGGGAAAGGAGGUGGAUAUGUUAUGCAUGAGUGCUGCAGUACUCGUGAUGUUAGCAUUCCUCAGUUGAAAGGGACGCUUGUAACUUGGUUAUGGAUGUGUUUAUUUAAAAAAUAUAACAAAGAAGCAUCUUAUUUACUCUCUAGCUCGUUCACUGGGGCAAGCAAUUGCUAACUAUGAUAAACAACAAAUAACAGCAAAUAACACAGGAAAAGGCUGUGUUGGAAGAUGGACAGGGUGAUGGGAGUAAUGUUUUGAACUUCUAAAACACACUGGAAAUAAUUACAUCUUAUAUUUGCAACCUUAAGUUCUUCUGCGCCUACUCAACCAGUUUAAUUCUGCUGUGCCUGGCUGAGGCUUUGCUGGAGGCUUUCUGUCCCUUGAUGACAAAGAAUCUGCUGCUGGAAAUGCGGUUCCAAGCAGCACCUCCUGGAACUGACCACGAACAAUUCCCUCUGUGAGCACUCCUCCUCUCCAGCCUGCAGCAUUUGGAGCGCCCAGCUCUGUGUCUUUGCUUGGCUCCUUUUACAACAUCCAGGGAAACUGAAGAGUUAUUAAAUUAUUCCAGGAACCAAACAAUUCCCAGAAUUGCAAUUGCUUCCAAAUUCAUGCAUUGUAUAAAAUUUGACACGCUCCAGUGGGGUUUUUGCAAAUCUUUUUCAUGUGCAAUCCCAGAACCAAAUGGAAAGGGUUACAACAUUUUGAACUAUUUCAAUAAUUGGAAAACAGCCUCCCUAAUUGUGAGUGAUUUGAAUUUCCUGCAGCAUUUUUGUACUUUUAUUUUCGUAAGAACUUGGUUCUGGAAGCGAGUCAAGUAGUACAUGAAUACAGGGAGCCAAGACAUACUGAAACUAUAUAAGAGCCUGUGUUUUAUAGGUGUCAGUUUGAAAAGAAUGUUUAAAGUUGGAGUGAUGGCAAGAAAUGUUUUAAGAAGUUUAAGGGAAAAAAAACUGCGUGACUUGGCAGAGAGGAAAAAAGUACAUUAGGAAACAUUGCAAAAUAAUGGGAUAAUCCUACCAAAAAGACACUGCACUUGCAAAAUAACUUUGAAAGCUCCCAGGACUGCAUUACCAAUAUUAAAUUUCAUGAUACCCCUGUGAGAGCUAUUAGAUGCUCUAGGAAGAAUGCUGGAGUAGAUACACUUAACUAGGAAGUGCUCGGAGAAAUGCGGCCCUGGGAAUGCUGGCUGGAUUGCAUGAGGGACUGAGCUGAUCUGAAUCAUGCUGUUGCCUUGGGAUCCCUGGGCUGAGGCAUCAUGCCUUCUACAGUGCUAACCCAGGUGCUUCCAGCAGUGUUUUGGGGCUAUGGGGGUUGAAUCAGAGUUAAUGGAAAGCCCAGUGCUGUGGGAGAUGUUCAGCUCAAGAGUCCUGGAGCUGAUCUGUGCCUUGUACUUUCUUGUUCGUGAAAUGUAAGCAUACUUUCUAUAACAUCUGUGUGUGCUGCAGGAACUGUCCUGGGCCAGUUAUGCUCAGCACCUUGAAUUAUGCUUCCUUCUUAUCUGUGCUAAGUGACUGCAUUAUUUCACUUGGAGAAAUAACAUCGGGUUAUGCUGAGUGUCCCAUUAUCUAUGCCAGAAUUUCUUAUGGUGGGUUAUUACCCUCAUUUAGUAGCAUACGUAUAGAGAUGCUAAAUGCUUCAUGCAGUAUAAAUAUGCCUUCCACAGUAUGAAUUAAUACAUGAUUCAAGUGGCAUUAAAAUGAAAUGUUGUUUCAAAUAGCUACAAGCUAUUUGAAAAUGUGUGAUAAAAAUAAUUUGAUACAAACUGCUCAGAGGAUUGCACCUGUGAUUAAGGGGAAGCCUUCCCUGGUGCAGCAGGUCCUAGUGCUCGUGCCCUGGGAUGGGAGCACUAUGGUGCAGGUGGCCCCAGUGGCCUGCUGCUGCUGCAGGUUGGUCCGUGGGUGCUGCUUCUGCACCAUUCAACAGCUCUGGCCAGCUUCAGGGGCUGUCAUAUCUGCUUUGUAUUUUCAGUACUGAUUAGAGCCCUGAGUUUCAUCUCCAGUAUUGCUUAGUCAUUUAAUCCCAAUGAUGCAGCAGGAAUGGGGUAAAUACUCUUGAUUUGUAACACUUAUCCAGUCAUCAUUUAUCCUGGCCUUAGGAUUGCCUGCAAAAAACAAAAAAAACAAAAAAACAAACAAACAAACAAAAAAAACCCCUGUAUUACAGCUACUGCUGAAUUUCAAGUAGUUUGACAGCUAUUCUUCUUCCCAAGCAGGCAGAAAGUCAGAAAAACCCCAACCUGUGCCUUUAAGGCUUGUUGAGGUCUUCUGAAAUAGAAGACCUGAGGACUCCAUGCUAAGAGCUUCGCUGGGAUUUGACUGCCCAGUGCUGGGAAAGAGGGAGGACACAGCCCCGCCAGGCAGAGUCAGCUGGCACCUAUUGCAGCUGCCUGGGACUGGAUCAGAGUUCAUGUUACAUUUAAUCAUCUUUAUGAUGCUAGAUUGCAUUAAUUACUUAGUAAAAAUCAGUAAAUGAUGUUAUGCAGGCAGUUGGAAUAACAAAGUAUUUCUCUUCCUUUGCAAACUGGUGAUCUUAACAUUGAAAUAACAUUUUCCAUGCUUCUUGUUGGCUGUGUGCAGGGAAUGCCUGUGUGUGGGAUGGGGGACCCUGCCUCUAAUUUUAAGACAAAAAAUCCUCACUCUCAGAGGACAGCAGCAUGAGUGUGAGUAGGGCUUCUCUAUGAAAGAUGGCAGUAGGUUUUCCAGUGUUUCUUAGCCCUAUUUGACUGCCCUGUGCUUUUUGUAAGAAGUGAGACUGGAAUAACACAGUGAUCUCUAUGAUGUAGUUCAUGACUAGAGUCCUGAAGCCAAUUUUAAAUAUGAUACGGAUGUUACCAGGAAUAGAAACCUCUCCUAGGAAAUGAAUGUCACUCCUCAUCUGAGUCUAUCCAGCAAAUGUACCGUGAGUUUUCAUUUCACGAGAGCAUAACUGGAAUUGGCUUACAUUCAUGCAUUCAGAUACCAUUUGCCCAGAAAUAUACAUAUGCAAUGUGCAAGGAGUUAGGGGACAGUGCCUGUAUGGCUACCAGUAAUGUUAAUGUGAAAUGGAGCUAGCUCAUCAGUGAGCUGCAGAGCUGUGUGCUCUCCUCUGUGAGUUAGAUUAUUGUGGCCGGGAAAUGGCAGUUCUGCACCAGUUACUGGAGGACACAGCUACCUGGCAAGUCUCUGAAAAUAAUAUUACUCCAUGAACUGGCUUCAUCCUUAGGAUUCUUCUAAUGCAAGUCAAUGGUUUUAGCUUUAAUUAUAUAUCCUAUCGUAUGUCUGGUAGUCACUCCAUACCACACCCCCCUUACUAAAUCCAGUACAUCCUGUUCUAUUCUUUAAUUUCUUCAAGGUGAAGUCACUCUUCUUCAAAAUCGCCCUCUAGUUCUGAGAGUUACAGCUUUGAGUUUUACCUCAUCUGCCAUUUCCCACUCCCCUCCGUGCAAACUUCACUCCCUUUGGCUGCACAAUGAGAGUGGACCCAUCCUUGGGGGCAGGAUAGUUGCUGAUCUGUAGAUACACUUCUCUCUCUGGAACGGGGUUGUUGAGCAUCAAGCUUGCUGAAGGCUGAGGGGCAACAAUUUAGACUGUUUUUGUUGUAAGACUUCAGUGUUGUGUACACAAAUGUCUUGUUUCUCCUGGUCUGACACGGAACAAAAUGCACCAGGAGCUAGAGGGAGGAACAUCUGAUAUGGCAUGAAUCCUUGUGCAUCACUGUCAAGAACAUUGGCAGGAUGGUGAGCUUUCUGCCACUGGGCAGGUGCAGGAUGUCUCUCCAUUCGAUAAAGAUGAAGCUGCUGAGACUUACAAUGGUUACAAAACCCCCUUAGUCCAGCUUUACCAAAAGCCGUCCUCUGCCUCAUGCACUGAGCUGCUUUACCCACAUAAACUGUCCCAUGGAAAUGGAGGGAGCUGCUAUGACAUGGAAUUCUGUGCAACAAACUCAGGCUUAAUAAUUAGUCGUCGUGCUUUGUGCUGAGAAAAUAUUUCCAUGAAACAAAGAACAUUUGAAUUUACAGGAAACAUUAGCUGGUUGGCUGGCAGUAGCUGUAGAAUGUGAUCCAAAACCAUUUAAUGUCGGUGGCUGUCUUUCUGUUCACUUCAGUAGAGCUGAUGUUCAGGGGCUUCAUUAUGAUUAAUCCUUAUUAGUCAAGUUCAGCAGGGCAGUGCCUAAUGGCUGACAAAGGAUGCCUCUCUCCUAUUGCAGGGUCACUGUGUACCAUCUGGGCAGCAGAGAGCCUGCAGCCUGACUAGAGAAGACACAAAAACAUGUUAACAGAGUGAGCCACCAUCACAUCCACUCACUAUGUGGGAAGGAGAUGAGAGAGGGAGGGGAAAAUGAAAAGCUUCAUGUAGUACACAAGAGCCUGGCAUGGACUAAAAGAAAUAUCAAAAGAAGAGAUGUAUAAGCACUGAUAUUCCCAUGUGAUGUCUUCUAGUGCUUUGUCUGGGCAGCUGCUGGCCAGUUUCCAUUGCAUCAAUUUCUCUCAGACUCACUGCACGUGCCUUCAGACCUCUCCAUGUUCUCAGCAGAACAAGUUAACUGAGGGCCUAAGCAAUCUGAUGCUGAUCUCACCAGCUUUAAAGGGCUUACAGAACUCUAAGUUAAGCAUAUGCCAAUUGUUGUGCAAGUCUUGUGUCACAUUCUGUAUGUGAGCUUGGAAGGGCACAAGGAGUGUUUUGUCCUGACCAGGCUUUGGGCAGAGACAGAAUAUGUUUGUGAUUUAUGUAGCCAAUCUGGAAUACACCACAAACACCAGAUUAAUCUCAUCUGAAAAUUAUUAUUAAUCUCAUUUGAAUUAAACCUGUUUAUUGUGCCAGAGCCUCCCACUGCUCCCUACCUUCUUUUUAUUUCCUGGUAGAUCUUCAUUUGGGAAAGCUGCAGUGCAGGUGUCUUCUCUGCACUCUGCUGAAUGCUAUAUGGGUGAAGUUUUUUGUAUUAUCGUUAAGAAGAAAAGCC
rnacentral:lncRNA from 1 species